AGAUAACUACAGAUUUGAUUGGAACGUUCUAGAUCGAACUUAUAGCUAUUAUUGCUGUCUAGCUAUUAAUUGACAGGCUCCUGUGCUUGCCAUGGGGCUUGCUUGCCUCACUGUGUAUUAGAGUCUUGUGCUCAUUCGUGGCUGCUUUUUGCUUUUCCUGCUUGCUGUAGUGCUUAUCAUCCCACUCUGCUGUGCCUGGGAACAUUGUGAUAACAGCAAUGGCCCUGUGCCUCGGCUGGCAGAUGGCCAGGGCAUUGCUGCCGUUUCUGCGCUGCUAUACUGGACAGGCUGGAACUCCAGUGUGAACUCGAGUCAAAGGGACUGGGACCUGUGGAUGAGUCCACGCGGGAGCAGGACACCCCAAAGCGUCUGUGGCUGUGGGUAAGUCCAUGCCAGAGCAGGCGCAUCAUGAAGGGUCUGUGGCCGUGGUUCUGUUUGUGCUGCAGCAGCUAUACCUCUGAAGGGACUGUGGCCCAAGGAUAAAUCCAAGCCGGAGCAGGGGCAAGGGGAGGAGUUCAUUGCAAUGUUAAACCCUACAACCUGGCCCAAAGGGCCCAGGGGUGGAGGUCAUAAUGUAAUACCUUUAAAUUGUUGUAACCCAUGAUUUGAGUUGCAUGUUAUAGGAAUUACCAGAGCAGGAACCACCUGAACCAAUGGAGGACAAGCCUUACAAGAAGCAGUGCAAGUGCAGCAGUGACCCGACCUGAGCUGGCUUUGGUGCCCAGUAACUCCGCACAACACACCAUCUCUCCUGUCCUGAGUGACCACCGUAACAGAUGGAGCCCAAAGUCAUGGACUAAAUGAACUCAGUGGACAUUUUAUGGGCAUUUGUGGACUUUUUAAGGACAUUUUAAAGACAUUUUAUAGGGGUGGUCCAUAGACUAAGAGAAUGAUAUCUGUGUAUUAUAUCAAAGGAUGGAAAGGGGUGGUGGUUAAUGAGGUUAUAUUGGAUAGUGUGGUAAAUGAGCAUGACGUAAAUGGUAUGGAAUAAGGGGUGGAGAGUGUGCUGGUUUUGGCUGGGGUAGAGUUAAUUUUCUUCACCCUAGCUGGUAUGGGGCUGUGUUUUGGAUUUGUGCUGAAAACAGUGUUGAUAACACAGGGAUGUUUUCAUUACUGCUGAGCAGGGCUUACCCAGAGCCAAGGGCUGUUCUGCUCCUCACCCCACCCCACCAGCGACCAGGCUGGGGGGGCACAAAGGGUUGGGAGGGGACACAGCCGGGACAGCUGACCCCAAAUGAUCCAAGGGAUAUCCCAGACCAUAGGACUUCAUGCUCAGUAAUAUAAAGCUGGGGGAAGAAGAAGGAAGGGGGGGGACAUUCGGAGUGACGGCGUUUGUCUUCCCAAGUCACCGUUUUGCGUGAUGGAGCCCUGCUGUCCUGGAGAUGGCUGAACACCUGCCUGCCCAUGGGAGGUGCGCUACCCAUCUCAAACAGAGAAAUUAUCUGGUUGGUAGAAAAACUAUUUGCCCUUGUGAAUCUACAAUAGCUGCUCCUGAUCACUUCUUGCCCUCCAUGUGCUGGAAAAUGGAGUCCCUAAGGACACGCUUCAUAAUCAUCCCAGGGACUGAGGUGAAGGUGACUGCCCCGUGCUCCCACAGAUCCUCCCGGAUCUUUCCGAAGAUGGUUGUAGCAUUUGUCUUUCCAAUUAUUAAGCACCCUCCCAGUGAUCAUAACCUUUCAAAGGAUGAUAGAAAGCAGCCUUGCAAUAACAUUAAUCAACUUCCUCAGUACACUUAGAAUAUUUCCUGUUAGGCCCCACAGACCUGUAUAUGCUCAGUUUAUUUAAGUAGUCCAUAACUAAGUUUUCCUCUACAAUGGACAGAUGCUAAAUAAAUCCAGACACUCCAGAUUUAAGAAGCAGCAGCAUAAAAUGAGAAAUAGGUGACUGCAGAAGUGAGGUCAUUCUGAAAGGGGAUGCAGAGCAUCCCUUCUCUGUUAAUAAAAUUAUAACAUUAUGCUAUGGUAGUAUUUCCAAGCUACCAAACUGGAAAAAUUGGAGACAGUUUUUAAAUUGGAAAACCACUGCUUCAGGAACUCUCUUACAGCCAACUUGACAGCUGCAAGGAAAUUUAUCCUAGAACUCAAUAGCUGUUGUGGUGAUCACAUGCUUAUGAGUGUGUCAUGCACUAACAGAGAAACAUCAAUAAAACACAAAGUACUUGGAAAGGAACAACUACAGAAACCUGAAGUUAGUCACUCCAGAAAGAAAUUAUUCAAAAGGAAACUAUGAUAACAGGAAACUUUUUUUUUAAAAGAAAAAAAGCAAACUAGGAGACACAAAUCAAAAAUGAAAGACGGAACACUGAUUAAAGAGGGACCCUCCCCAGUUGUAGCCAGAUUAAAAGGAAAGUGAAUAUGCUUACAAAUAUAUUCGUAGUAACACACACACAGAGGGCACAAAAAUGUAAAAAGAAAAGGAUAUACAUUCAGUAGAAAACUAAUUUUGGAGAGUACAAAACGUGACAUAAAGAUCAUGACAGCAAAGUGAUAAAAUCAGUGUAAGACAAAAGCCUCGUGGAGCAUUUAUGCCACUGCAUUGCUUAGUAAACUGGGCACAAUCAGCUCUGUGUGUGAAUGCAUCUGAACAGGGAAGCAAACUCUGCAGAACAGUAAGCAGAGGCUGUGCUUGCAGGAUGGGACUUUACCCUUGGCAGAAGAACCCCAGAGACCUGGGGUAACGGCUGUGAAUUUUGGAGAAAGAGCUCCACACCAGCACACUGAUGACAAUACUUAGCGCAAUCUCUGAACGUACCAAGAAAGUCACAUUCAGUGGAAGGAAUGAGAUUGCGUUUAGUUUGAUGUUUGACACUGGUAAUCACUGCUGGAAUACUCUGCCCAUCUCUGGUGUGCCAUUCCCAACUCACGCUCAAGUGUUGCUGCUUAGAGACGCAAGACCAACUGGCGUACAGCAAGAGGCAAAACCAGUUACUUAGCUUACAAGAGCAAUACCCUGUGAUUGCAUACAAUAAGAACUGAAUCCUGGUAAUACAGACACAACCACAACCAGGGACCGGAAACCAGAAAAAUUAAAGUAGGUAUAUAGUGCACUGAAAAAGAGCAAAGGCAAUUAUCAAUAAAAUACACCAGACAACUUCUCAAGUUACAGGUGAUUCUUGAGGGGGAACCAUAAAUGAUUUUUCUUCUAAAAGAGACACUUUAAUUUAGGAGGUCCCAAACUGACAUCAUCACCACCACCAUUUCUGUUGAUAUGGCAGCAAUAUCAGACUUUGAUGGCAGAGGCAAACUACUUUUCCAUAAAUUAAUGUCUUCAGGUCAGUCACAGGUGGGAACGGUGCUACUUCCAAAUUAGCGUUUGGGUGGUGAGGGAGGGUUUGUGCAUCCUGUGAUACAUGUACAAAGGCUCUAAGUCCAACCACAGCUCCUGGCCUAGAAACAGGACUUAAUUCAAAGGAAUCCUAUGACUUUGUUAUAAAUAUGCCUGACUAGAUGAUGAUGAUGAUCCUUCAUGAAUCUUAUGAGGGCUAAGGUAUCACAAGCCCUCAUAUGCUUAUGUGAGCUUAUAUAAACUUAUAUGAGCCCUCAUUAUAAGAUACUAAGCUACAGAUACAAACGGGUUUUCAUAGGUUUCAUCUGUAUAGUUUGAUAUCUUAUUUAUCAGGAGUCUAGGAGUACUCUGUUUAUAGAAGGCUACUUCAAAAGGAGCCUAAAUCUAAGCUUUAUGCUACCUAUUCCAUUCCACUAACAGGAGCAUGGAAGAGUGAUCCUUCAGCCUCAGGACCAUCUUAAUCAUCCCCCCUUUAUGGAAAGCCCUGUGUAAGCGCACAGAAGCAUCAUGUAGGUAUUGACUCCAGCUAGUUGUACUGCAAGUUCUUCCAGAUCUCAGCUUCAACUGUAUUAACUACUGGGUGUUACGCACUAGAUACUAACAGGAGUCACAACCAAGCAACAUGUUGCUCUACAAAAGGAAACCCCACAGAAACAGUAACAAAAACCAAACCAAAACUCACCCAACUCCCCAGACCAAACCAAAAUAAUCAAUUGGGCAGGAAGCUAAGAUUGAAAAAGAGAAGCAAGGCUCAACCCCUGUUCCUUUUCCUCCUUGAACAUCUGCCUGCUCUCAGAAAGAAACUUCCAAAAAAAACAGAUGCCCUCUCAGCAGCAUGAUCCCAGUGCAAUGUCUUUUACAUCAACAUCAACGCAAAUUAUACAUUCAUAAGCCAAGCCUGUCUGCUGAAUUCAUAUUGUAGAUAAUCAAUGAGAUUUAAUUCUUGACUAAGGAACUAGUCAAUGCUAAAAUGAGUAAAUUAUUUGUUAGGACAUGUGCUUAUAAACAAAGAAAUUCUGCAUUACUCUAUCUGUCCCAGGGCAAGGCAUUUUCCUCUGCAAGACCUUGAGGAUAUCUGUGACAUAAUUACUGACCUACUACUACUCAAAAUCCACUAGGAUGGAUAAUCUACAUACCAUUUAAGCAUAAAUCCAUGUAGCAAGAGCAUGCACAGACUUACCCUCUAAUACUGUAAGCUAUACCCAUUGCAAGACUCCUCAGCAAAAGAAUCAAUCUCUUUAUUGGUGUCCAAAAGCAUGGGUGCCUCUCUGCUCAGCUGAACCUGACAAGAAGCUGCCCUAGACUGAGUAAUCUAUUAUAUAAGGCAACUCAAGAUGCCCACCUCCCCUGUUACGUGCUAAGGUGAGUGCUGCUGUGAUCAAGCAUAGUCACUGAUUAACUCAGCUGCGUUGUGUGGGUCACGGGGUGACGCACGCCGGGACACUCUUGGCACCCGGGAAGCCACGUAGGAAGAGAGAAGACCUACAGCAGCCACAAAAGGCAAAUGAGACUUAAGACUAUUGACAGCCUUUAUAAAGAAUAUCAGCCUAACAGUCUCCUCUCUCUAUUAAUAAUGUUCCAGAGGCUUCCAUUAAAAAAAAAAAAAAAAAAAAAAA